rnacentral:rRNA from 1 species
UACGUAGGUGGCAAGCGUUGUCCGGAUUUAUUGGGUUUAAAGGGUGCGUAGGCGGUGACUUAAGUCAGUUGUGAAAUACGGCAGCUUAACUGUCGAGGUGCAAUUGAUACUGGGAGACUUGAGUACUGAUGAGGUAAGCGGAAUGGACGGUGUAGCGGUGAAAUGCUUAGAUAUCGUCCAGAACACCGAUAGCGAAGGCAGCUUACUAAGGAGUAACUGACGCUGAGGCACGAAAGUGUGGGGAUCAAACAGG